UUUAAAAUUCUAGACGAUAUAACUACUUUACAAUUCUAAACUAGCCCACGAUCUUGAAGAAAAGCUUGAUCUCUGUCUUGAGGUAGCCCCAAGGCCCUGCUUCAAGAAGACUGCACAUCCCAAAGGUAGC